UCGUCGAUCGCAUGGCCCACCGCGAAGGUUAAUCCGAGGUGAAACCCGAAGCAGUCGCUUCCGCCUCGAACCUGGCGCUCGAUCCACCCUAAAAACCUCAUUUCGUCGUCGGCUUGGUCGAUCCCCAUCCUCCGCCUCCAUGCUCCAAAUGGGGAGAUCCUUUACUGUGCAUCCUUAAUUUGGAUGCGAAUCUUUGUUUCCCUUUCAUUGGGCGCCUCGUUUUGUUCUGGUUUCUUUUCCCUCCCGUAACCCUUCCACUUCCUGAUUUGGUUGUUUGUUUGUUUCCUCGUCGAUGCUUUUGAUCCCGACCUCGUUUGUUCGUUCGUCGGUUUGAGUUCCUUGCUCCAGCAUUCUACUUUCCAUUUCGAUCCCUCAGUGUCUUUCUGCGAAGUGGUGAUCCUGAUACUGUAUUGACGAGGAGUUCGUUUGGAACUUUGGCGUUUCGGAAGCUCAGGUUGGUCCAUGGUCGUGCAAUUGAUGAGUAGAAUGCGUAGCAGUAGCAGGUUAUCAUGCUAGGCGCGUAGAACCGAGCGAUACAGUUGCUGCUAUCACUCAUCAGGAGUACUAGCGAUUGAUCUUUCAGGUCAAUGUUGUUAGCUUCUUCGCACAGUCGUCCCAACGUUAAUCCGACGCAGCUUUUCUAGUGGAAUGCGGCUUCAGCGCGGCAUCCUCAUGAUCUCGUAUAUUAAUCCUCGUAAGACUCAAUUCCAGAUGCACUUAGACGUAUUUCAAUUCUAAUCAUAGCUACUGCACGAGUAAUGCUUCUUGAAUCCACUCGCCAGCAGUCUGAGUUGAUCCCUCGGGUCUCGUACUUGCAUUGUAACGCAGUGCAAUUGUGCAAGCUCUCCGUUUCACACUAGGACCUCGCAUUGACAGCCUUGGGAUUCUGUCUAAAUUUCGAGAGUGCUUCACGCCAAUACUUGACCACCGCUCAGGCUGUGAGAACUGUCCAGGCGAAACGCUCUUGGUCACCAUUCUAUCGUCCUUUAAAGAAUAUCCAAACGAACUCCUCGUUAUCUCGUCGAUAGAGAUCUGCCAGUGUGCUUCCCAACUUCUAAGAAUAUUUUACUGAUGUGUGACAUAGACCCAAACAACGGAAACAACCAACUAAUUUACCCGCAAUCUCCUUGAUUUAGCUUGGGCUGGGUCAGGAGGUAAUUUUAAUCAUUUAUGAGUUUAAGGUGUAGCUUUGGUGUGUCGUGAAAGGGAGAUCAAAGGUUUAUACCAUUGAUCUAUCGUCAAACAGAAUAAAGUUCUAGUGUAUACCUCAAAGCGGCUCGUUGUUUCUUCAGGCAAGAGCUUCUUCUAUAGGACAUGACUCAUAUCCAAGCAGCCGAAACGGAUAGUGAGCUGUGAUGCAGUUGUGCUGGCGUGAACCAGAAUCUGAACAGCAAAAGAGAAUAAUCGGGUUAUACAGAAUUAGCGGUCACAGCUGAAGAGAAUUCGCUCUGGUUAUGGACGACGAAAAUGAUGCUAUUGCAAGCAGGCUUUUAAAAGCUGGCGGGUGUGAAACCAGAAUACCAGUGAAGCCGUCAGUGAGUUGGAUGUUGGCGGGGGAGAAUUGUGAGGUGUGUCUCACGCAGCUCUUCUGUAAUCGGGUGAAGCAGACUUACUGUGUGAGUUGCUCUCAAUGGGAGAAGAUGUUGUCGGAUUCCGCAGAUUUGGACGGUAAAGACCAGCUUGAAACGCCGUCCUCUAUCGGAAUUAGCAAGUCCUCAUCAGAGUAUAUUGUCAACAUCGGAGAAAACUUCAAGGAUAUUCUUAGAGCUGAUGUUGGCAGCACAAGGUCGAGGGGUGGAUCAUCCUCUCUCAGCAUGCUGCAGCAGAAAUUUUUCUGCUCAGUUCCUUCGAUUGUAGACAACGAAUCAGGCCCCAUCAAUGCUUGCCUCUGGGAUGAGGAUUUUAGUGACAAGAUGAACUCGAUUCAGAAGUUUAACAUUUCCAGACAGGAUUCGAGAUGCGAUGCUGAGAGGGACUCUCCACGAGCAGUGCUGGAGGGUCCAUUUUCGAGUGGAUCGCCUAAUUUUUCCAGGAAAAGUGUAUUGAAUUCAACUUUUGACGUUGAGAACUUAAGUGACCACACUGGCUUGACACAAUCCACCCAGAAGCAUUGUAUUCAAAGCCUGUGGAGAUCUUUCGCGACUAGAAAGUGGCAGUCGUUUCCGACGUCGUAUCGUAAGAAAGAUCUGUCGAUUUCGGAUCCCGUGUUGCAAAAUCCUCAGGCACAGGCAGAGCCUCUGUUCCAAGAGUGUGUGGAUGAUUUUCUUAGCACAUCUUGUAGCAUCCGAAGGGCUUGGCAGACUUUCUCGUAUGAUGAUAUUUCUCUUGCAACUAACAACUUCGGUCCAGAGAAUCUAGUUGGCGAAGGUGGAUUUGCGAAGGUGUACAAGGGAAUGCUUAAAAACGGUCAGCUGAUUGCAGUGAAGAAACUCAAUCGCGGUGGUACUCCAGCAGAAAAGGAAAGAGGCUUUCUAAUUGAAUUGGGCAUUGUCAGCCACGUAUCCCAUAUAAACGUUGCAAAAAUCUUGGGCAUCUGUAUAGAAAACGGUUUACACCUAAUAUUUCAAUUGUCUACUCUGGGCAGUCUCCAGCCGCUUCUUCACUCUUCGAAUUCCCCAGGUCUUACGUGGGAAACGAGAAAGAAGGUUGCACUGGGCGUAGCAAGAGGAUUGCAUUACCUCCAUGAGCAGUGCCAAAGGCGGAUCAUCCACCGCGACAUCAAGGCGUCAAACAUAUUAUUGGACUCUAAUUUUGAGCCCCAGAUAUCAGAUUUCGGUCUGUCAAAAUGGCUUCCAGAUAGAUGUUCACAUCAUACUGUUCUUCCCAUAGAAGGAACCUUUGGGUACUUAGCAUCUGAGUACUUCCUUCAUGGACGAGUGGAUGAGAAGACGGAUGUAUUCGCUUACGGCGUGUUGCUCCUUGAGCUUAUAACUGGCCGUCGACCUGUGGAUUCUGAAAAGCAAAAUCUUGUUAUAUGGGCAAAACCAUACCUGAGAAAGGGCAACGUCAAGCAGCUUGCAGACCAGCGUCUGGAUGGCGAGUUUGAUUCCGAUCAAAUGCACCGCCUGGUAUUGAUAGCAGGCCUGUGUGUCCGGCCAUCACCCACUUCUCGCCCUUCGAUGCGUCAGGUAGUGCAACUACUGUCGGAAGAUGUGGCAGAUAAGAAAUCCGAUCUCGUGUCAAGAUCGUUUUCGCAAUGGCAUGACGUUGCAUGCUCCGAUGCCGACACCGAGGAGGAGUAUGGUUCCACUGAGGAUUACGAGACUGACAUGCAACGGCAUCGAGCUCUAGCUCUGGAAUUCGAGUGACAGUGAACGAAGAUCAUCUCAUAUUUUGCAUCGAUCUUCACACCAGCACGAGUUCACUUAGACGUUCAGCCUAAAGAAACCCAAUUCUAGGGCCUCCUAUCUUGCAGCAUUGAAGGUCAUCUGUAUAACAAGCAGGCAUAGAUAUAUGGUAUAAUGCAAGACAUAAUUUUGUGUCGACGAAUUAGAUGCUGAGAUUUAAUGAGCAGAAAAACUAGAGGUUGACUGCUUGUUGGAAAAUGGAGAGAUUCAGUAUUAUGGCUGUAGACUGGUUUAGAAUAUCCAGUUUGUGAGAUCCUCCUCUUCGAACAUCCUUGCCACAAACCAUCAGAGGGUGUUUUUUUCUUUCUUUUUUUUUUCUUUUUUCUUUUUUUUUUUUUUUUUUUUUUCUGUUAAAUCGUUUUGAACGUGUCGAGGUGGACUUCAAGCAUGCGAUUCUUAUCAACAGCUCCCAAUGUGUUAAAAAUGAUUCUUCUACCAUCGAAAUAAGUAUGGUUUACAAUGUAGUAGGCAUCAAAAACUAAUCCAAGUCACUUGAUUGAGUGUA